UACGUAGGGUGCGAGCGUUAAUCGGAAUUACUGGGCGUAAAGCGUGCGUAGGCGGUUCUCCAAGUCCGUUGUGAAAGCCCCGGGCUCAACCUGGGAAUGGCAGUGGAAACUAGGGGACUGGAAUCUGGCAGAGGGGGGUGGAAUGCCGCGUGUAGCAGUGAAAUGCGUAGAGAUCGGGAGGAACACCAGAGGCGAAGGCGGCGACCUGGACAGGUACUGACACUAAACUACGAAAGCGUGGGGAGCAAACAGG
rnacentral:rRNA from 1 species